CAGUCCCGGGGAAUGACUGUUCAACCUGACUUCAAUCAUAUGUCCACCUCUCUAUGAUCAGAUCUGUUAACAGAAGACAUGGCAGGGAAGAGAAAUAAUAACCAAUAUAAUGGGUGGUACAAUGUUAAAAUAUAUAUAUACUUGAGAAAAUAAUAAAUAAUAGGAAUAAAAAUCACAUUCUAUAAAAACCAAAUGCAUAUAGACAGCCAACUAUAUCGAAAGUUUAGGACAAAUAAUCCUAUGUUCAAGACAACAUCAGGGUGUGUUUAAACAGUUUAGAACUCUUCUUAAACCCGGCCCCCUCUUUCCUUCUAUUACUUUUUCCUCUAAAUAUAUUGCCUUCUAGUUGUUGGCCAAAUAUGGGACUGAAAUAUGUUUAAAUAUAUUGAAAUUAAUCAGUAAAGACUUGCUUACACUCUUUGCAGAUUUUAAAUCAGGAGAUUUUUAAAACCAUUUCAAACCUCACUAAGCUUUUUGUUUUGUUUACACAGAGGAUUCCCCAUGUCUCAUAAGCUUAAAGAAAAAAAAAUUAUUCAAUAGACCAGUCAAAUGGAAGAGGCUUUUAUUUGUAAAGAAAUGAACUUACAACUGAUCUACAAUAUAUUAUUGUAAUAUAAACAAUAUAAAUAAAUGAUCCUGUAGGCCCACUAAUCUUCCAUCCAGACCCACAUGAAGCAAUGUUACAACAAUAUUCUAUAUGAAAAUGUGCAGGUAACAAAGGUGCAAUUACAAGCAAGUUAAGCAGCAGAGUAUAAGGUGCUUUAAUUUAAUAGUUAAUGUUGCCAUCAACAAACAUUUAAAUGCUCAAUUUACUUCACUGAAUACAGACACAACAAAUAUGAAAAUCUAAAUUCAUACACAUGCUACUUAAUAUGAAAGUGCUUUCUCUUUUUUAAAAAAAUACACCAAAUGGACACUUUUUACAUAGAUCAAAUGUGCUCUUACAAUGCAAAAUUAACCUUCAUUUUCAGGUUAUACAUUUUAAAACUGUAGCUAUCAACACCAAUCUAGGAACUCUAAUGCUAAGAGUGCUAAAAACUAUUUCAUUUCUUGUAAGGAGGACUCUAAUACAAUAUCCAAUGUAAAGAAUACAUCUAUAUAUAAUCUUAACAUGUUUUCUGUAAAGAUAAAAAAUGUUUUCUUUCCCCUUGGUGAUCUUUGUUCAUCCUGGGUGGAUCAUCUUUUGAGAUGAAAUUAAAUGCUCCAAGUAGAUUUGUAAAAUACCAAUAUUGAUGAAUGUGGGUAAACAGUUCAUUUCAUGAUCCACACUGCUGUGAACCAAAGAAGCAGAGGUAGGCUUGUGUUUACUGAAAUCCAGACUAGGAAAGAGAAACCUAUAGCUCUUCUUUUCCCAAUUCUUAGACUGAGACACAACCUAGCAAAUAAAAUACUAUCUUAAAAUGCCUCUCUUUAUAACAAUCUACAGAGGUGAUUCAACUGUGAUAUCUGAAAAUGGAAACUCUGUAAUUCUGGCAACUCAAUUACAACAACCUUUGAAUUUUUGACAAAUAUUCUCCAACUGUAAUAAAAGGUUCUCACCUUUUUCAGAAAUCAAAAAUCACUAACUUCUACAUCACUGGAACUAUUAAUAUCCAUGCUCCCAAGCAUGGAGACAGUGGGUAUAGAGAGUGAAAGAAUGAGUCUGAUUACAGGUAAAUCUUGACAUAUAAAAACUAUAACCUAUUUACUGCUAUAACUGGCAUCUAACAAAACGCAUUAUUUUGAACUAUGGAUGAAAGCCAUAUCUAUCCUAAAUAUCUUCUAUCCUCUUGGGUCUAGAAUGCUUUGUUCCUCCUACUUGUCUCCUCCUCUACUUCCCUAUCCUUCCCCCUAGAAAACCUUCCUUAGGGCCCAGCUAGUUACAUAUGUAGUACACAAGAUAGAGAUUGAGCAAUCAUUUUGCAUAGAUGCGCCAGUUUCCACUGCCCAAAGGUUGCUCUGGAACAUGACUGUCAGGUAUCAGAAAGUCCUGCCCCAGCUGCCUCCCUUCCUAAAGUUAGCCCCCAUACGAAAUCCUCUCUAAGGAUUCUGAGACAAAGAUCUCUCCAAGAAAGAAGUUUUCAUGGUUUUCUUGGAGCUAGAGGCCUUAGAGAGGUAGUGAGAUGAGGCCCUUUCAUGCCAUUAGCUAAUGCUCAAUGCCAGUAGGCUGCAUGUGUUCCUGCAAUCCACCAAGGUGAAAACCACAAACUAUAACCAGGCUGUUCUGGCUGAAAAUACAUCUUUAAAACAUUUUAACAGUGUGUCCAGUCAGUUUCAUCCACUGGAUAUGGCUGUCAGGUCAGCAUCACUCACAUACAUCUAUAAUAGUGUAUUCUUUCAAAAAUUGUUUAUACACACUUAAUAUAGGCAUAUAGCCUAAGACUAUAUUGCCUCCCUACCAUACUUGUGCCAUUGUGGUACCAAAAGCCUGAAGAUGUACAUAAUGUACUUUAAGACAUUUAACUGAACAAGUCAGUGGGAGACAGGGCACUAUAACACAUUUCAAUUCAAUCUAAGACUUGUAUUUGUGAAUAGAUGUCUCAUUAUAAUUUUAUACUUGAUACAUGAAGAUAAGCUACGUCAAAAAUUAUUCAAAGGCAUGAUCACAAUAAUACUUGUUUCAUAGUUCUAAGUAUUUUGAUACACCAGGAAACAAAAAUCAACUGGGAUCCCUAAUGAAAGAAAAUUAUUUCUUCUAAGUAAAACAUGAAUUUCACUUCAAAAGUGCAGAAAUGUGCUCAGUGUUGAAGUAGGCUAAGCUAACAAGGAUGAUGGCCUCCUCCUCUGACUCUUCCCAUGCUCAAGCUUUUGCAUUACCAUUUCUCUCCUCCCAUUCCACCUUGUCUACUCCUAGGUGACUGCUCUUAAAACACACCUUUUAAAAAGUUCUGUUUAGAGCAUUCAACAGCAAAGUAACAGGACCAUCAGGGAAAUAAUAUGCUACUUAAAAAGUGACAGGAGGAUUUGGGACAACACUCUAUCUCAUACUAUAUUGACUACUCAAAGCUGCAUAGCUGUGUCUUACACAUGCCUACACAAGGCUUGAUGAAUAUUAAUGUCAUAUAAAAAAUAAUUUUUACAAAUCAGCUCUCUUAGUUGUUUAACUUCCCCAGGAACACAAGGCUUAAAGCAAAAUUUCAAACUUAUGCUUUUUAUCCCAAUGGGACAAAGAGUGCAACACUGCAAGGAAGUCAGAAAAUGCAAACUUAGGUAGCAAAAGUAGGAAGAACCUCCAUGUUCCCUUUCUGUUUGUCAUUAUCUCUCCCCAGUCAAAAUCCUAAAACUAUUAGUAGUAGUAUGAAAGGAUAUGAAAACAAUUUACUCUCCCCACCUAUAUCAUACUGAAACUCUGCUUUAAAGCUCAGGAGAGAGGUGGAUGCUCAGUGUUGUCUAUAUAUCCAUUAUAUAUAGCUGAAGCUUUGAAAUUAAGAUGAUUAACUCAUCUUGAAAGAAACAGCUGCACCAAUGUGAUAGCAAACAAGCCAUUUUUAAAUAAAAACUCACUUGAAAAAAGCAAGUGCAUAUUUUGUGUAUGUUUUGAGUGGGGACAACAGAGAUCUGGACUAGAUUUAAGAUUAUACGGUAUUCUCCAAUAGAAAACCCUCUUGUAAGCCCCUCCUGAAUACUUAAGACAGCAGUAGGCACAGGGGCUUUCAAUAAGUACAGAAUGGCUGCUAUUAGGAAAGAGAACAAAUAAAAGGAGAGCCUACAACACAGUUCAAAAUUGAUACCUUAAAGGCCAUAGGUAAUACAGUUAUAGGAUGUAAUCAUUAUUGCUGGAGCAGUCUAUCCCCAUAUAAUAAAUUUUGUAUUAACCGUGGAUAAUCUAUGAAAAGUUUUAAUUCCAGGCGAGAUUUUCCGUUGCACCUCUCUCUCUCAUACUGUGGGCCAUCUCUUACUAAUGCUUAGCCUGUAUUUGUGUUCUGAAAUUCCAAGAAGAGGGAAAAGUCAAGCAUAUGACAAUUCUGUCAUGAUGAUUAACUGCUAAUAAAUGAAAACUCAUUAUAGAGUACCUAGCUUUCCUUGAUACUUUAAUCCAAUGAUUAAAAAUGUGAUAUAAAGAAAUACGUAACAUAGACUACAAGCUAUCGUAGGUCUGGAACAUGAGCCUUA
rnacentral:lncRNA from 1 species